UACGAAGGGGGCUAGCGUUGCUCGGAAUUACUGGGCGUAAAGGGCGCGUAGGCGGCACUGUUAGUCAGGCGUGAAAGUCCUGGGCUCAACCUGGGAACUGCGCUUGAUACGGCAGAGCUAGAGGAUGGAAGAGGGUCGCGGAAUUCCCAGUGUAGAGGUGAAAUUCGUAGAUAUUGGGAAGAACACCGGUGGCGAAGGCGGCGACCUGGUCCAUUACUGACGCUGAGGCGCGACAGCGUGGGGGCAAACAGG
rnacentral:rRNA from 1 species